rnacentral:rRNA from 1 species
GAUGAACGCUAGCGGCAGGCCUAAUACAUGCAAGUCGGACGGGAUUCCCGAUUUAUCGGGAUGAGAGUGGCGCACGGGUGCGUAACACGUAUGUAACCUACCCUUGUCAGGGGGAUAGCCUCUCGAAAGAGAGAUUAAGCCCGCAUAACAUUAUGAUAUAGCAUUAUAUUAUAAUCAAAUAUUUAUAGGACGAGGAUGGGCAUGCGGAACA